CCUACGGGUGGCAGCAGUGGGGAAUAUUGGGCAAUGGGCGCAAGCCUGACCCAGCAACGCCGCGUGAAGGAAGAAGGCUUUCGGGUUGUAAACUUCUUUUGUCAGGGACGAAGCAAGUGACGGUACCUGACGAAUAAGCCACGGUUAACUACGUGCCGGCAGCCGCGGUAAUACGUAGGUGGCAAGCGUUAUCCGGAUUUACUGGGUGUAAAGGGUGCGCAGGCGGAUUGUUAAGUAAGCGGUCAAAGCCGGGGGUUCAACCCCGGCCCGCAGUUGAGACUGGCAGUCUAGAGUUGGAGAGAGGUAUGCGGAAUGCGCGGUGUAGCGGUGAAAUGCAUAGAUAUCGCGCAGAACUCCGAUUGCGAAGGCAGCAUGCCGGCUCCACACUGACGCUGAGGCACGAAAGCGUGGGUAUCGAACAGGAUUAGAUACCCGUGUAGUC
rnacentral:rRNA from 1 species